CUCGACAAGAAAUCGCUCCGAUCGGCUCCUGUCUCCUCCUCUUCUUCUUCUUCUUCCCUCUCCGCAUCCGCAGCUGCACCCGAGGCAGAGGAGGAAGAAGCUGCUGCUGAUGCUCAGAUUCAGACUGGAAUCCAUCCAAAGACCGCACGCGUGAAAUUCCUUCUGCAGAAGGAAUGCCUGUUCGGCGAGCAAUUCCUCUCGUCGGCGACGAUCCCAU